ACGCCAGACUCCUACGGGAGGCAGCAGUGAGGAAUACUGGUCAAUGGGCGGGAGCCUGAACCAGCCAUGCCGCGUGAAGGCGAGUGCCCUACGGGCGUUAAACUUCUUUUGUGCGGGAGCAAUAAGGGCCACGCGUGGCCCGAUGAGAGUACCGCACGAAUAAGCAUCGGCUAACUCCGUGCCAGCAGCCGCGGUAAUACGGGGGAUGCGAGCGUUAUCCGGAUUUAUUGGGUUUAAAGGGUGCGUAGGCGGCGCUUCAGGUCAGCGGUGAAAUACCGGGGCUCAACCCCGGGGCUGCCGUUGAAACCGGAGCGCUAGAAUUCCGAUGCCGUCGGAGGAAUGUGUGGUGUAGCGGUGAAAUGCAUAGAUAUCACACAGAACACCGAUUGCGAAGGCAGCAUACCGGCGCCCGACUGACGCUGAGGCACGAAAGCGUGGGGAUCGAACAGGAUUAGAUACCCUUGUAU
rnacentral:rRNA from 1 species